GUGUCAGGUCAUUCUGCAGAGCUUCUAACUCUCUUAAAGGAAGAGGCCUUUGGUUGACAUGUAAUUUGAUGGAGAGGAAAACACAGAACUUGGAGGCUCUUGACAGCGCCUGACUGGAUUUAUCCCACCCUCUGUAACAUUUGAAAUAAAUUGCAACAGCUUUAAAAACGA